AACCAACCAACCGCUCCAACAAGUGCCACCAAACAACAUUCCAUUGUUUUGGCACUUUGAUGAAAAUGAAGAGGAAUUGUUUGAGUAUCUCACCCAGUUCCAGGCCCUCUGUCAAGUCCAUCGAAUUCAGGUGAGAACAAACUGGCCACCCACCUAUCAUACCACCCUCUCUUCAUCCAGCCAGGAACCACAAAACAAGAGGGCACAGCCACAGCAACUAGUGACCAAGAAUAUUUGAAUGAGUUACCAAAUCAAUGUCCAGUUUGUGAAAUAAAUCUCCAGUAGAAUUUAGUGACUAUGAA